GGAGGAGGAGAGGAAAAAGAAGAAGAGGAAGAAGAAGUCAUCAGCAUGAUUUUGUGGUCAACUCAUGACAUGAAAUGGCACUGGAAGACUUAAAGAUUCCUAGAGAGGUGGUUCUCUCAGAUGUAAAGAGAGGCUUUCCUACCUCAUGUACCUGGCUUUGGACAAUAUGUACUCGGGCAGCAUCAACAUUCCUCUGGUCAAGUUCUGUAUAUCAUCCAAUUUAUGGAAACCAUUGUUACAUCCAAACCAUAGAAUUAAUUCUGUCUGACAGCACUCUAACUACCAUUGCUCAGUGCUACGGAAUCCUUCAAUUUGUAGUUUGAUGAGGCACCAGCACUUUUCAGCAGAGAAGAACUGGAGCUAGACUGAGCCUGGGAUCCUGUUGCCCACACCAGCUUCUGAUUGGCCAUGGAAAUGUGCCACCGUACCAUCAGAUGAGGUUGUGUACGUGAGUGGAAAGGAAAUCUAGCAGAAGAACACUUGCCAGCAUUCAUAUGGAUCUCAGCCAAGGUGUUACCAAGACAGGGAUGUCCUUUCUUCUAUACUGCUGUUAUUCAGUACCAUAUUGCCUCCAGACCAUAAUGAUUCUUCUAGGGAUGAAUAGACUGAGGCUUACUGUUUAAUUGGGGGGCUAAAAUAUCUACUCAUGAAAUAAUCCCUUAUUCUUUAUAGCUAUCGAAUAAAAAGGGAUACAUUGGGAAUGUAAAGAUAAAGGAAAAGGUUUCCCCUGAUAUUAAGUCCAGUCGUGUCCGACUCUAGGGGUUGGUGCUCAUCUCCAUUUCUAAGCUGAAGAGCCGGCAUUGUCAGUGGACACCUCCAAGGUCAUGUGGCUGGUAUGACUGCAUGGAGCUCCGUUACCUUCCCACCAGAGCAGUACCUAUUGAUCUACUCACAUUGGCAUGUUUUUGAACUGCUAGGUUGGCAGAAGCUGGGGCUAACAGCGGGCACUCAUUCCGCUCCCCGGAUUUGAACCUGAGACCUUUUGGUCCGCAAGUUCAGCAGCUCAGUGCGUUAACACUGUGCCACUGGGGGCUGAGUGGUGUGUAUUUGUAUGAAAUCACUACCUAUUUCUAUUUGAACCAUUGUAUGGCCCCGUUUCCAUCUACCACUUAUGGAAAUGGGCGCUGAUACGAAUAAGCCUUUCCAUCCAAGGUCUAAAAAAAACAAAGAUUUUUCAGGCCUUGGGCAGCAAAGCACCAGGGCCUGCCAGCCAGGACCUACAUCCGAGUGGGCCUGGCGCUUGGCUGUAGGCCGGAUCUAUGAGUAUCAAGCGCUUGGCUGCAGGCCCAGCUCACAGAGCCUACAGUUGAGCACUGAUUGCUUGAUGCUCAACGUGGAGUGAGCACCACUGUUAGCUCCAGCUUCUGCCAACCUAGCAGUUCGAAAACAUGCCAAUGUGAGGAGAUCAAUAGGUACCACUCCAGCGGGAAGGUAACGGCGCUCCAUGCAGUCAUGCCGGCCACAUGACCUUGGAGGUGUCUACGGACAAUGCCGGCUCUUCGGUUUAGAAAUGGAGAUGAGCACCAACCCCCAGAGUCGGACAUGACUGGACUUAACAUCAGGGGAAACCUUUACCUUUACUUAUGUAGAAAUAAGUCCUUGAGCUCAACAAAACUUCCUCUGUGCUAAGAAUUUAUAGAUCUGCUGCUUAAUACAUUAGGUUUACCAUUGAAUAUGUGACUACUAUGUUUCUAUAAAUAUUUAACUUGAAAAAUACCAAACAAAAGAGAGAAAAUGAAGACACAAUAAGAGCUCUGCUGGAUCAUGCUAAGACCAUCUAGCCUAUUAUUUUGCUCACACAGGUGUCAAUUAGUUGCUGACGAGAGGGGCACAGGCAGGGCUUGAGUGCAACCAUUCACUGUUUGGGAUGUUAGGUCUGAAAAUAUGUUUAAUAAUGUAAAAUGUUUAAAAACUGGAAAUUAUUUAUUGCCACCAACAUGAAUAUCUGAAUAUAUUUAAUUCAUUCAAUUGUGUCCAGAAACUGUCAAAUUGGGAAAGGUUGUUAUCUUAGAAAUUUCUCAUUGACCCCUUUUUAAUACCCCCUUCCAUUCUCACCAAUAUGUACAUUUACCUUUCAUUCAAAUAUUUGCAUGAAUGGCUGUAUGAGACCAACCCGUGUAUUGAAGGUUAGCAAGUAAUUACCUGAAAGAGGGAGGGAUAGAAGCCAAAUAAUAAGAAAUAGGGGAGAGGUUGAUGAAGAAAACGUAAUUACUGUAUAUACUCAAGUGUAAGCUGAGAUUUUCUUUUUAGGGCUGAAAAAGCCCCAUUUGGCUUAUACUCGAGUGAGAGUCCUGGCUGGCUUAUAUUUAGGUCAGCUUAUACUCAAGUAUAUAUGGUAUCUACUUAAUUAUUCAAAGGCCUAGUGCUACAAGAAUAAUAAUAAACAUGCUAAAGGAUUACAAAGUAUUUCAACUGAUUAACACCUGAGGGUGAUCUUGGGUUUGGCUAAAUAAGUGUUUGGGUCCAGACUAAUAGCCCCAGCUUCAUCAUGCACCCCCAAAGUAUGUGAUUCAGACCCCUUCCAUACAGCUGUAUAAAGUCCACAUUGAACUGGAUUAUAUGGCAGUGUGGAUUCAUAUAAUCCAUAUCAAAGCAGAAAUUAUGGAUCAUCUGCCUUGGUAUUCUGCGUUAUAUGGCUGUGUAGAAGGGCCCUCAGCUGAAACUCUUCAGUUGGUUCCCCAAUUUUCUUUUGCUGGAUUUCCAGAGCUUUUUCUAUUUGCCAGAGAUAACAAUGAUGCAGCAAGAAACUGCUCUCCCUAGGAACAAAGCUAUCUUCUCCGGUUCUAAUCUUUCUUCUCAACAGGCUUCCUGUCUUUGGAGAAUCUGCUAGAGGAAGAACCACCCACUCUAAUGAAUCUAAAACAAAUUAACUCAUUGAGGCAUUGAAAUAGCUUUAGUGUUAACUUGUAAAAUUAGCAAUUUAAGCCCAAACACCAAAUAAAUGAUUUGGUUCCAGGUUACAUGGUUUGGGUCCAGGUUACCUACAGGAUCACCUUCUCUUGUACAAUCUGCCCACACACUUAGGUCUUUUGGGGGGCAGUUACUCCAACUAGCCAAAACCCGACUGGCAACCACCACCCAGAGGACCUUUUCAUUGGCCGCUCCACAACUGUGAAACGACCUGCUGGUAGAGCUCCAACAGCUGGGUCAGAUUAAGAUACAAGUGAAGACCUAUCUCUUCCAGCAGACCUACCCCAGACAGUUUGAAUGAUGAAUUUUAAACUUCACUGUAUGCCUAAUUUUUGUUCCAUGUAUUUUAAUAUGUAUUUUAUGGAAAUAUGUUUUAAUAUAUGUAUUUUUCAGAGUGUUUUAAAAUGAUUAUGUGUUUGUUUAUGUUUUAGUAAUGUUGUAACCCACCUCAAGCUGUGAGGAGAGAUGGGCAAGAAAUAAAACUAUUAUUAUCAUUACUAUUAUUAUUAUUAAAUCUAGCAAGUCUUAAGUUAAUGAACUACGUAUGUCUAUGAUCUGAACCAUAUUCAACUACUCACACUGAGUAGUUGAAUAGCAGAGAUAUAUCAUUUCCUGUACUCAAGGAAAUGUUGAUUCAAUCUUUGGGAAGUAGCUACUCAUUGCCUCAUCCUCCCUAAAAUUUCCUUCUUACUCUGUCCAAGUUUAUAGCCAACACUACCUCAUGUGGUAGCUAAUACCAGUUUAGGUAUGUGUCAUGUAAAAAAGUGUAUUAUUUUGUCUAUUAUGCAUUGUAAUUCAUUUAGCUUCAGAUUAUCUGUCAUUCUAGUACAGUGGUUCUCAACCUGUGGAUCCCCUGGUGUUUUGGCCUACAACCCCCAGAAAUCCCAGCUAGUUUACCAGCUGUUAGGAUUUCUGGGAGUUGAAGGCCAAAACAUCUGGGGACCCAAAGGUUGAGAACCACUGUUCUAAUAUAAGAAAGGCAAGCUUCACUUUCUCUACACUAUGGAUAAUUUUAUGCACAUCUAUUUCUGUUUUUCAUCCCUCUUUUUAAAAGUUAAACUGGCCCCAUUUUCAUAUACUGUGUACAAGACGUAUCUGAGCCUCCUGAUCGUUAUAUGUACCUUUGUAGGUUGUUGUAUACCUUAGAAUUUUGGCCUGAAUCCUAUUGGUUAGACUCAGCUAGAACAGACAUGCUAUAUGUAUUAUUUAUUGUUAAAUAAACAUAUAGGUAAAUCCCUUUCA